rnacentral:misc_RNA from 1 species
UACGUAGGGACCAAGCGUUGUUCGGAUUUACUGGGCGUAAAGGGAGCGUAGGCGGCGUGACAAGUCACUUGUGAAAUCUCCGGGCUUAACUCGGAGCUGCCAAGUGAUACUGUUGUGCUAGAGUGCAGAAGGGGCAAUCGGAAUUCUUGGUGUAGCGGUGAAAUGCGUAGAUAUCAAGAGGAACACCUGAGGCGAAGGCGGAUUGCUGGGCUGACACUGACGCUGAGGCUCGAAAGCUAGGGGAGCAAACGGG